rnacentral:rRNA from 1 species
AAUCAACGCUGGUGGCGUGUUUAACACAUGCAAGUCGAGCGAGAAAGGGGACUUCGGUUCUUGAGUACAGUGGUGUACGGGUGAGUACAAUGUGGGUAACCUGCCUCGGAGUGGGGAAUAACACCGGGAAACCGGUGCUAAUACCGCAUACGACCACCGGAUCUUCGGAUCUGGUGAUGAAAGGUGAAAAUCGCUCUGAGAGGGGCUCAUGCCCGAUUAGUUAGUUGGUGAGGUAAUGGCUCACCAAGGCCACGAUCGGUAGCCGGUCUGAGAGGACGGUCGGCCACACUGGAACUGAGACACGGUCCAGACUCCUACGGGAGGCAGCAGUGGGGAAUUUUUGACAAUGGGGGAAACCCUGAUCAAGCAACGCCGCGUGGAUGAUGAAGUAUCUCGGUACGUAAAAUCCUUUCGACAGGGAAGAAGCUCUUCGGAGUUGAUGGUACCUGUAGAAGAAGCCCCGGCUAACUCCGUGCCAGCAGCCGCGGUAAUACGGGGGGGGCAAGCGUUGUUCGGAUUUACUGGGCGUAAAGGGCGCGUAGGCGGUUCGUUAAGUCGGAUGUGAAAACUCUGAGCUCAACUCAGAGCCUGCAUCCGAUACUGGCAGAC